AACGCACCUUGCGCUCCUUGGUAUUCCGAGGAGCAUGCCUGUUUGAGUGUCAUUAAAUUCUCAACCUCUCUAGUUUUUAUUAACUAGUAGAUGGCUUGGAUGUGGGGGUUUAUUUUGCCGGCUUUCACAAGUCAGCUCCCCUUAAAUGUAUUAGCCGGUGCCCUCUAACCGUCUAUUGGUGUGAUAAUUAUCUACGCCGUGGACUAUUAGACUUGGUUGCAUUGCUUCUAAUCGUCCUCUAUGGACAAUAUAAUGACAUUUUGACCUCAAAUCAGGUAGGACUACCCGCUGAACUUAA
rnacentral:misc_RNA from 1 species